AUUGAACGCUGGCGGAAUGCUUUACACAUGCAAGUCGAACGGCAGCACGGGUGCUUGCACCUGGUGGCGAGUGGCGAACGGGUGAGUAAUACAUCGGAACGUACCCAGUCGUGGGGGAUAACGUAGCGAAAGUUACGCUAAUACCGCAUACGUCCUGAGGGAGAAAGCGGGGGACCGUAAGGCCUCGCGCGAUUGGAGCGGCCGAUGGCGGAUUAGCUGGUUGGUGGGGUAAAGGCCGACCAAGGCGACGAUCCGUAGCGGGUCUGAGAGGACGGCCCGCCACACUGGAACUGAGACACGGUCCAGGCUCCUACGGGAGGCAGCAGUGGGGAAUUUUGGACAAUGGGCGAAAGCCUGAUCCAGCCAUUCCGCGUGAGUGAAGAAGGCCUUCGGGUUGUAAAGCUCUUUCGGCAGGGAAGAAACGGCUUGGGAUAAUACCCCGGGCUAAUGACGGUACCUGAAGAAGAAGCACCGGCUAACUACGUGCCAGCCGCCGCAGUAA
rnacentral:rRNA from 1 species